rnacentral:lncRNA from 1 species
CGCAUUCGGGAAUCGCAACUCGAUGCCUGUCACGCUACCUCACUCGAUCAAUCAAGUGCGACAGCGCAUCUGUCAUACUUGAUUGGUCGAUAUUUCAUAUGAUCUGCAUUAAUUUACAUAAUGUAAGUCAUGGUUUAAUUCAAACAAUUCAAACUCGCGCCACUCCCACUUCGGUGUUUGAUUAUUUGGAGAUACGCUACACUGCAACUUGGUGGAGAUGAAGCAAGUGAAAGGAAGUUGCAAUUUACGAGAGUUUAAAAAUUCAGAGAUUGGAGGGACACUGACUUUGAAUGAGGUCUCUUUAAGAAAAAUGGACUACUUUUUUGAAUUACGAGAGUUUACUGUACACUUAUCGCAAGAAAAUCUACAGCAUAAAGGAACAAUGAAAGUAAAUUUAGUUUUGGCGGAACAUUAUAAUUAGUGUUAACCAAUCGAUAAACGAACACCGCAUCUGUUAAUUGCCGUCUAUCAGAGAGUGAGAAGAGGUAAAAACUAAGUUUAUGGGUUUCAAUGGUCAGCCGUAUAAUGAUGCUGCACUGCAAAUAUAUAUUCAAAAUAGUUGAAUAGAAGUCCAUAUUCUGUAGAAGAAUGUGUAUAUAAAGAUUACAAAAUGGGAGUCUUUAUCUCCAAGAAAAAUGCAUGUAGGUCAUCUGGAAUUUUGAAUGUAUAAACUGCCAAAAUUACUAUCUUACUAUAUUAUACCUUAGCUUUCAGAAUAUUAUUUUUAUUUCGGAUUUAUUCACAUUGUUUUGCUAAAAUAAAUAUCAAUUAAAUUAA